rnacentral:rRNA from 1 species
UACGGGGGGGGCAAGCGUUGUUCGGAAUUACUGGGCGUAAAGGGUUCGUAGGUGGCCAACUAAGUCAGACGUGAAAUCCCUCAGCUUAACUGGGGAACUGCGUCUGAUACUGGUUGGCUUGAGUGCAGGAGAGGAAUGCGGAAUUCCAGGUGUAGCGGUGAAAUGCGUAGAUAUCUGGAGGAACACCGGUGGCGAAGGCGGCAUUCUGGACCGCAACUGACACUGAAGAACGAAAGCCAGGGGAGCAAACGGG